rnacentral:miRNA from 1 species
CGGCGCUCGAGGACUGGAGUUUG